UUUAUUCAGAAGUGAUACAUUUAUAACAGCUUGGCUAUUAGAUUAUAUAAUAUUAUGAAACAUUAAUAGUAAUUGUAUUUUGUGUCUGUUAAUGAGCGACUGUCUCCAGGUAAAUGAUGUGAGUGUGUUUGCAUAUUGAUCAGAUGCUUCAGUGCUCUGAGAGUGUUUAUAGUGCUGUGAGUUUAACACUUCAUCACUGACACACACAACAAUCUUCAUCAACAUGACCUUCAUCAUCAUCUUCAUCUGGACCCUUUCAUACUGCUUUAUACUACAAGGGUGUAAAGCUCAGAUCACAGUCACUCAGACUCCUUCAGUGAAACCUGUCACACCAGGAGAAAAUGUAGAGAUGAGCUGUAGAUUUAGUUCUGCUCCAUCCUGCAGCCCACCCUGUGUGUCCUGGUACUUACAGAAACCUGGAGAAGCUCCUAAACUCCUGAUUUAUUUGACCAAAAGUCUCAAGUCAGGAACUCCAUCUAGAUUCAGUGGCAGUGGAUCUAACAGUGAUUUCACUCUGACCAUCAGUGGAGUCCAGACUGAAGAUGCUGGACAUUAUUACUGUCUGAGUUUAUACUGGCCUGAGAGCAUUCGGUGGUUCACACAGUGAUUGUGAGUCGUACAAAAACCUGUGUCAGUCAGAGUCACAGUGACUGAACUGAUGCUGCAGCUGAUCAAACACUAUCACUCACUACUGACACACAGAGACCAAACACAGAACUACACAUGAGCUCACAACUGAGUUAGGACUCACAUCAGCUCUAUUAGACUCAGAUCUGUCCUGGGACAGACGGGUUUGAAUUAAUUAUGCUCUGGUUUUGUGAUGAAUUGAUAUCAAAUCAAUCCAAAAACACACAAAUAUUAUCUCUGUUACAGUUUAAUAGUUUUAUGUUUUUAUGUGUACUUACAAUCAUACUGAUAAACUGCCUUACGAAACUAUCACUCAAUCUUCAUAACUGUCUCAUCAGUGCAUGAGCAGAAGUGAAAGUGUUUCAGUUCAGAGCGUUGAACCGAUCAAACAGUGAAACUGUGAGUUUGAGCUGAAAUCAGAUUUGCAUUGACAGCUUUAGUGAUUCUGAUGGUCUCAGAAUAGAGCAGCUCCGUCUCCAGAGACCAUGUUCAAACCCCAAGAGCUUCAGUUCACAUUUACUGCUAAACACAGCUGUUCUCAACUAUUACAAUCCAUCAACAGCAGCUGAAACUUUAGUGAAGGAAGGACACACUGAUCAAUGAUGCAGUCGAACACAAAUGGAAGGCGUUCAGAAGCUUUAUUGAAUGAACAGCAAUGGCAGCACAUUGAAAGACUGCUUGAGUAUUGAGCUGUAAAUCAGGAGACUGCUGUGAAUCCUGCUGCUCUUCACUGGAGAAACAUCAGCACUCGGAGCUCUUGAGGAACGAGGUCUCGUGAUCAGCUCCGUCAUGUGUUACUCUGCAGACGAAGCGCUCGCCGGCUUCCCAGCGUGCUUUG